GUUCUACGGUGUUGUGAUAUAAUGAUUAUUUAUAUCACAGCCCCGCUUGGAACGC
rnacentral:pre_miRNA from 1 species